GAAGCCUAUAUGGCUUACAGUGGCAACAGACGUCGUCGUUUGGUGCAGCUGUGAUGAAUAAGUACCUACUUUAGGGUCCCGUUUUGCCGACACUGUUUCACUCUCAGAUGGCUAAGAUAUUGGGGACUCAGCUCUUUGUUCACAGGUUGUCAUUUUUCACAAACCAUCAAGAGCUUAAGACUUUAUUUGCACCAUUUGGUGUUGUUAAAGAAGCUAGGCUCAUUAGAGACCCCAAAACUCAAAGGCCUAAAGGGUUCGGUUUUGUUACAUUUGAAACCGAGGCAGAAGCUCAGAAGGCACUGAAAGCGAUGAAUGGCAGGAUUGUCCGUGGAAGGCUGAUAUUUGUUGAAUACGCAAAUGAUAAGUCUCAAAAGACCGAUGCAGACAGUUGAAAAAUGGCACGCUAAUGCCCGUUUCAAGAUCUCCUCAUCUUACCAACACCUUACAGGAGAAAAUGAAGCUGAAGUAGCUUCUACUACCGAUGGAGCAAAAUAGGUAGUCCUUCAACCAAACCAAAAAAAACACAAAAAAUUAACAAACCUCUAUAGUCUCACACAAAAUCAAACCGCAUAAGAAGUCUGGUAGAGUUUAACUUCUCUCCUUUGCGAUCAAAGAGGGGAACUGCCCGGAUCCCCUGCUUCAGUUCUGAGACUGGCAAACAAGUUUGACCGGCAAAGUCAUCCUUCUCGGACAUGUCAUAUUCGUGGACCUCAACUCGCAGCAAUGCCAAUUCAGGAACAGUCAAUGGAAAUGUAAAUUCUUCAUCCCAAACAGGUGUCCAGUUGUCUUCUUUUAUCUUCGUUUUCUUCAUUAUUUCAUCAUCUGGCACUCCUGCUAUUCCAACCUGCAUUAACAAAUUCAGAGUUAAAAUUCAGUAAGCAUGUUUAUCAUUACUCAAACUACACUGCACUUGGCUGGUUCACUGUAAAUUUUGCUGGAAUACACGGAAUAUUGAAAUAUAUCAGAAAAUUGUUUUGACACAUUAAACAA